GUGGGGAAUUUUGGACAAUGGGCGAAAGCCUGAUCCAGCAAUGCCGCGUGUGUGAAGAAGGCCUUCGGGUUGUAAAGCACUUUUGGCAGGGAAGAAACAGUGCGUGCUAAUACCAUGCGCGAAUGACGGUACCUGCAGAAUAAGCACCGGCUAACUACGUGCCAGCAGCCGCGGUAAUACGUAGGGUGCAAGCGUUAAUCGGAAUUACUGGGCGUAAAGCGUGCGCAGGCGGCUUUGUAAGACGGAUGUGAAAGCCCCGGGCUCAACCUGGGAAGUGCAUUCGUGACUGCAAGGCUAGAGUGUGUCAGGGGGAGGUGGAAUUCCGCGUGUAGCAGUGAAAUGCGUAGAGAUGCGGAGGAACACCGAUGGCGAAGGCAGCCUCCUGGGAUAACACUGACGCUCAGGCACGAAAGCGUGGGGAGCAAACAGGAUUAGAAACCCUAGUAGUCC
rnacentral:rRNA from 1 species